rnacentral:lncRNA from 1 species
AUAAUAAUAAUAAUACUACUACUACUACUAAUAAUAAUACUAAUAACAAUAAUAAUAAUAAUAAUAAUAAUACUAAUAAUAAUACUAAUAAUAAUACUAUUAUUACUAAUAAUAAUAAUAAUAAUACUACUAAUAAUAAUAAUAAUAAUACUAAUAAUAAUAAUGAUGCCCUAAGUGGUACCGUUAACGGGAUUUUCAACAGUACUAAUGUCACUAAUGAUAACAGUGUUAAUGGAAUUGAUAAUGUUACUAUCAACGGCAAUAGCAACAACAAUAACACUGGUAAUAAUAAUAAAAUGAACUAUAUACAAUAUACCAAUGGUAUGAACAUUUCAAAUAAUAAAAAUAAUGAAAAAAAUGCUGAGAGUAACAAUAUGUUAAUUACAAAUGUAGCCCCAUCUACUGUAACACCUAAUACCAGUUGUAACACUCGUGAUAAUAACAUAAACAGCGAUAAGGAAAACAACGGUAAAGAAAACAACAAUAAAGAAAAUAACAAUAAAGAAAAUAACAAUAAAGAAAAUAACAAUAAAGAAAAUAACAAUAAAGAAAAUAACAAUAAAGAAAAUAACAAUUUCCAAGAGAAAAAUGACACACAAACUGAAUUAUACAAUACCCCAAACACAUUGUUGAUUAAUAAAGAAAACAACGGCUUAUGUAAUAACGCUCAUAAAACUGAUACUACUCAACCCAAAUUAGAAGGUAAUGCAAAUGGUGUAAAUUGCGUAAUAGAUUCGGAUUGUAACACUAAUCAAAUUCCUACAAAAAAUUUAAUUAGUUCCAAACAUGAUAAACUAAAUGAAUAUAAUAACGAAAGUAAUAGCCAGGACAGCCUGAAUAACCAGAACAACCAGAAUAACUUAUCAAGCAAUAAUGACAAUGUUGUAGAUUAUAAGAAUGAAACAAAUUUCAUUAAAAACGAUUUGAAUCAUUUAAAAAAAACAAGUACAAUCAAGACACAUAACACAAAAGAUAUUACCCAAGAAAUAUUGCAUACCCUGGAAACACGUGGAGGAUUUAUAAAAAACAGUAUGGGGUAUAUACAGAAUUAUGAAAACAUUAAUUCUGGUUCGAGUGAUCAAGUGUCAACUAAAAGUAAACUAGUUAACAAUGAACAAACUAAAAGUAUACACGAUACAAAUAACAAUAAUUACGAACAAAGUAUAGACCUAAUAAAACGUGUACCAUUUCAUAACAAUAAAGCAGCUGAAAAUGUUUUUCCUUUUAAUUCGGCCGCAAAUAUAAACGUAAAUAACAAAUUAGCUUAUAUACUAAAUAAUAUACAACCUCUAUUUAACGUAAAUAACGAAUUAGAAAAUUAUAACAA